rnacentral:rRNA from 1 species
GGGGAAUAUUGGACAAUGGGCGAAAGCCUGAUCCAGCCAUGCCGCGUGAGUGAUGAAGGCCCUAGGGUUGUAAAGCUCUUUCAGCGGGGAAGAUAAUGACGGUACCCGCAGAAGAAGCCCCGGCUAACUUCGUGCCAGCAGCCGCGGUAAUACGAAGGGGGCUAGCGUUGUUCGGAAUUACUGGGCGUAAAGGGCGCGUAGGCGGAUUUGCAAGUUAGGGGUGAAAUCCCGGGGCUCAACCCCGGAACUGCCUCUAAAACUGCUGAUCUAGAGUUCGGGAGAGGUGAGUGGAAUUCCGAGUGUAGAGGUGAAAUUCGUAGAUAUUCGGAGGAACACCAGUGGCGAAGGCGGCUCACUGGCCCGAAACUGACGCUGAGGCGCGAAAGCGUGGGGAGCAAAC